UGGGAUCCAGGUCAUGAACCCGUGUCCCCUACAUCGGCAGGCGGACUCCCAACCACUGCGCCACCAGGGAAGCCCCCACUCACUUCUAUAUACAGUUAAAUAUGGCUAGCUGUACUGGGAUAACAAUGGCUUCUCGGAAUCUGCCUUUCACUGAUUAUACUGCUCACCUAUCAUCAAGUGUGUCAUGAAGAUACAGGCUGGCGGCUGUAUGGCACUCCCCAAAUGUCAUACAUACGGUGCCCGGCAUCAGAUGUUUAUAGGUAAAGUAGAGAAACAAGGUGUGAAAGAGCCAGGAGUUGGUCCAUGAAAAAGUCUUCCAAAUCUUAGAGCUCAUAUACAAAAGAAACGUGUAGGGGCUUUCCCAAAUUUGACAACAACCCUAAAAAUGUACUCAUGUCACCCAUCACAACUGGUGUAGCUGAAAGAAACCUUUCCUAGUCUAUCAAAAAUGAAAGACAAAUUUUGAUGUGAGGAAAGAUUGAAUUAUCUUUCUUUUCUUUCCCUUAGAAAGUGAUAUUGCAAAAUUGUUGUCAAAUAAAGAGUUAUUCAGAAUAUUGAUCCCCCAAAAUGCAAGGAACAAAGAAGUAUUAGAGAGGUAAAAGUUCUGAGCACCCCAAUUCCAGUGUGUCGUAGGGUUUUUCCAAGUAAUCCUCAGAUACCACCAGAGUGUCCUACAAGUCAACUCAAUUCUGACACAAUCUACCUGGAGAUAGCAUCAGAUCCCACAGGUUAAGGGCUCAGUUCCACAAGACUGCCUCCCACUUCAGAUGCCAGUUACAAGUCCAAGUUGUCACCUGGGCUUCUGACCCACUGGCUGUAGAUUGGAGAUUCCCACAACCUCAUUCUUGGGUUUGAUUAAUCUGCUAGAGCAGCUCACAGAACUCAGAGAAAGAUUUUGCUUUCUAGAUUCCUGGUCUAAAUUCCUGAAAAGAUGGAACUCCAAAACAGCCAGAUGGAAGAGAUACACAGGCAAGGCAUGGAGAAGGCACAGAGCUUCCAUGCCGUCUCAAGAGUGCACCAUUCUCCCCAAAUCUCUACACGUUCACCAACCUAGAAGCUCUUUGAGCCCUGUCUUUUUGAGUUUUUACGUAGGCUUCAUUACAUAGGCAUUACUGAUUAAAUCAUUGGCCAUUGGCAAUUGAUUCGACUUCCACUCCCUCCCCUCUCCCCUCCCCAGAGGCAGGGGGGUGGGACUGAAAGUUCCAACCAUCUAAUCAUGUGGUUGGUUCUCCUGCCAACCAGCCCUCAUCCUUAGGUGCAUUCCAAAAGUCAUCUCAUAAUAUAAUAUAAAACACACCUUUAUCUUUCUCAUCACUUAGGAGAUUCUGAGGUUUUUAGGAGCUCUGUGCCAGGAAUGGGGAUGUAGACCAAGUAUAUAAUUCUUACUAUAAAUCACAAUGUCACAGAGGUGUGUUGGGCAAUUAAUUAAUACAAUUAUUAUGCUCUUUUUCUGGCUUUGUGAUGUUUGGAUUAUUAUCAGCUUUUUAAAAUGUGUAAUUUCUUGAGAUUUAUUUUCUUAUUCAAAAUAAAUAUUUACUUUUGUACCUAACUUUGUAUUAAUAAUUUUGUAUCACUUUUAUGAAAGAGGGCCUCUGAAAUUGUAUAAGCUUCAGGUCUUACAAGACUUGGAUUUAUCCCGGCUGGCUUAGUUAUUUUCAAAGUGUUGUUAUGCAAAGAUGAUUUGUUUCAUAGGGUACCAGAGGGCCAGAAAUUUAAUUGAUGGUGGGAGUCGCAGGAGAACAGAUUUCAGGUCAGUUUAAGAAGAAUAUUUUAAUAUUCAGAGCCUUCCAAAGAUGAAGAGGGAAAUCAUGAGGAGUAGUGAGUUCCAUGACAGUGGAGAUAGUUAAGUAAAAGCUUCACCAUCAGUUGACAUGGCUAUUGUCGUGUGGGCCCAAGCUUGCAAGGCCGUUUGGGCAUAAUGAAUUUUCAGGUAUACUUUGAUGCCUAGAGUUUCUGCUUCUUCCUUUCUGAUGUACCCACGGCCCCCUUCUUAUGCCCUCACACUGCUUUCACAGUAGACUCUUACUUUCUGUCCAAGUAAUGAGGACAGAAAACAAGGAAGCUGACAAUCUUUUUAUGAAGAGGAACUGAGGUUUCAGAAGGGAGAUUAAUGGCCUGGCAUGUUCAGCCAUCAAGAGGGAAUCCACUGCAGACAGUUUCUAGAAACACCUUCUACAAGCUUCCCAAAGACCUAAUCGCGUCCUAAAGGAAAGACCCAGCUUCUCACUAAAGGUGGAGGCAGUUGCUUUGCCAUUAACCUUUUCAAGGGGUCACUUCCACACCAUGCACCCAACACGCCACACAGAAAAUGUAACUGAACAUCAGUUUUGCUUUUCUUCUUGCUUAACUGUUUUAAAUGUCCUUGAACUGCAUUUCUCCACCAGGCUUAAUGUUAUGGAUUGUGGAUUACAUUUACUGCUCAGCACUUCUUACUCAAUCCUGGAUGAUCGCAGACCUACUGAGUUGUUAACUCACAUGGUCAGCAUUACUGUCUGAGAGUAGUUAUACCAAAUGACUGUAGCAGAGAACAGUUAACACCUGGCCUUAGUGAGGCCUAGUGAAAUCAGCACUUUGGUUCUUCUUUUCCACCCAGCAAAAACCCAGGGGGAAUGUAUGCAUAAUGACUUGGGUUAACUGUCCUUAUCUUCCAGAGAGUUCAGAUUACUACUCCAGUCUUCCUAGCUGCCUUAUCUUGGAAAAUUAUAUUUGAAAGCUGCAGGAUGGCCACUUCUCCCAUCUUACAGGCAGUUUACAGUAUUCCAGAGAAAGAUGUGAGUUCUUCCCAGUCACAGAGAAAGUCAGGAGGUUGCUCCGUUUUUGUUUUUGUUUUCGUACUAGCACAAGUCACCUGGUUAGGAGAUUUCCAAAAAGUUGAUGUGGAAGCUACAAAAAGCUUUAGAAUCAUAGACUCAAAGCUGAAAGGGACCUUAAAAGUUAUUUAGUAUUUGCAUCUCUACACCUUGAACAUCUUCUCAAAUAAAGAUGACUAGAACCUGCCGCAUGUAUGACGUCCCACUGAAGCGACUUUAUCUCCUGAUCAGGAUGAGAAUUCCACUCCUGUCGGACAGAUGAGCCCAGGAGAGUGGAGCACAAUGGACCUGUGAGGUUUUAUUAGAGGAGACCCUGAAUCACUAAGAUUCCUAAGAUUGGGAGUCUUCAAGGGCAGGGACGAGAUCCCCUGAAGAUGCUCGAAUCUUGAAGAAGCUCAAAAGAUUUAACAAAAAAGAAACAAGAAGACUAGAAGCAACCUAAAUGCACAUAAAAUGGAAUCUUAUGUGGCCACUGAAAACACUGAGGCAGAUCUACACAUACUCACAAAGAAUGAAGUCCAUAGCGUAUUGUUAAGAGAAAAGAAUGCAAGAACAAUGGGAUGUGUCUACCCGAAGACACAUAAAGGAUAAAGGAAAUGUACCAUGUGAGUUUCCUCCACACUUGUGGGCUGGAACAGGAAUUUGUCAGCUGCCAUCAAUGAGCUGAGAAGCUAUGGAUGAGAAGUUUAGAGGAUGCAAUACAGGAAUUCAGUGCCUGCUCCAGAAUGUGCAACUGUGGGUGAGAAGAAACCAAGGGGGCAUUUAAUAAACCUCUGUCUGAGGAAUAAUAAA